rnacentral:rRNA from 1 species
UACGUAGGGAGCAAGCGUUGUCCGGAAUCAUUGGGCGUAAAGCGCGCGUAGGCGGCCUCAUAAGUCCGUUGUGAAAGUCAAAGGCUCAACCUUUGAAAGCCGAUGGAUACUGUGAGGCUAGAGUCCGGAAGAGGCGAGUGGAAUUCCUGGUGUAGCGGUGGAAUGCGCAGAUAUCAGGAGGAACACCAAUAGCGAAGGCAGCUCGCUGGGACGGUACUGACGCUAAGGCGCGAAGGCCAGGGGAGCAAACGGG